AUCGAACGCUGGCGGCGGGCCUAACACAUGCAAGUCGAGCGGAGCGGCGGACGGGGGAUUAAUGCCUAGGAAUCUGCCUGGUAGUGAGGGACAAUGUCCGGAAACGGGCGCUAAUACCGCAUAUUAUCAGAUGACCCUCGGUCGGAUUAGCUGGUUGGUGGGGUAAAGGCCUACCAGGGCGACGAUCCGUAACUGAUCUGAGGGGAUGAUCAGUCACACUGGGACUGAGACAAGGUCCAGACUCCUACGGGAGGCAGCAGUGGGGAAUCGUGGACAAUGGGCGAAAGCCUGAUCCAGCCAUGCCGCGUGAGUGAAGAAGGUCUUCGGAUUGUAAAGCACUUUAAGUUGGGAGGCGUUACCAACAGAAUAAGCACCGGCUAACUACGUGCCAGCAGCCGCGGUAAUUC
rnacentral:rRNA from 1 species